AACGAACGCUGGCGGCAUGCCUAACACAUGCAAGUCGAACGAAGUCUUCGGACUUAGUGGCGCACGGGUGCGUAACGCGUGGGAAUCUGCCCUUGGGUGCGGAAUAACUUCUCGAAAGGGAUGCUAAUACCGCAUAAUGUCGUAAGACCAAAGAUUUAUCGCCCAAGGAUGAGCCCGCGUAAGAUUAGCUAGUUGGUGGGGUAAAAGCCUACCAAGGCGACGAUCUUUAGCUGGUCUGAGAGGAUGAUCAGCCACACUGGGACUGAGACACGGCCCAGACUCCUACGGGAGGCAGCAGUGGGGAAUAUUGGGACAAUGGGCGAAAGCCUGAUCCAGCAAUGCCGCGUGAGUGAUGAAGGCCCCUAGGGUUGUAAAGCUCUUUUACCAGGGAUGAUAAUGACAGUACCUGGAGAAUAAGCUCCGGCUAACUCCGUGCCAGCAGCCGCGGUAAU
rnacentral:rRNA from 1 species